rnacentral:tRNA from 1 species
CAGGGAAUAGUUUAAGA